UGCAUUACGUCACGCUACCCUUGCUGCAGGGUAGGGGGCCAAAGGGGGGUCUCGCGCACGCGCGCGCGCGGGAGAUCGAGGCGCCCGCGCUAGGUUAGUGCGAGACCCCGCCGGCUUGAGGCGGGGGCUGAGCGCCGGCCAAGUCCAAGUGCGCAAGCCCAGAUCUCGGCGCGCCCCUGAGGAGUUUCUGUGGGAAGAUUUUCUGUUUUCCAGGUUUCCCAAGGGAAACGAAGAAAGGGAGGAGGAUAAUCAAUGACUGAACCUCUAAUAGAUGUUGGACGACGUUAAAAAAAAAAUGUAUCGGCCCUACCCUCGAGGAUUUGACAAAUUAGACUGACCAGAGUAAUAAGAGAUACAGGCAGAAGAGGAGACAUAGACACACACAGAGGAGAAGAUGAUGUGAAAAGGGAGGCAGAGAUCACAGUGGUGUGGCUACAAGCCAAGAAAUACCGAAGCCAUCAGAAGUUGGAAGAGCCACCAAGAGUGCUGAACAAUCAUCUGAGGACAUCAUUGGGUAUCACUGGCAAAGAGAAGAGAUGAAGAAAAGAUAAGAGAAAGAAAUGAAAGUGGAAGAGGGCAGAAAAAGAUAAACAAAAGUUAGGAGAGUUUUCAGGAGGAGAAAAUAAAGAGAAGACAGAGAAGGAAGUAUCUGGGGUACCAAAAAAGCCUAUGAACUUAAAAGGGA
rnacentral:lncRNA from 1 species